rnacentral:lncRNA from 1 species
AGCAAGAGUCCAGCCCUGAUGGAUGGGAAGCAAUAUCCUGGGCCCUUAAUCCCUUUGUUGUGUUGUUCUAUGUUCUAUGGCAUCAACAAUGUCACUGUUAUUAUUUCUAAUAUCCAGACAGAUCCAUUGAGACAGAAAAACAAGCAUUCAUUCAUUCAUUCAUUCAUUCAUUCAUUCAUCAAACAAUAUUCUGGGUAAUGCACUAGAGUUACGUAAGAUAUUACUAUUGGGGAAAUUAGGUGAUAGGUACACUGAGGAUUGCCAGGAAUUAAUAACCCAUCCGGGGCCUUUGGAGACUAAGAAAAUAGAUGCUCAAGCUCUUCCCCAAAUGUCCUGUAUGUGAUGCUCUUUGUAGUGUGUCUCUG